rnacentral:rRNA from 1 species
UACGUAGGUGGCAAGCGUUGUCCGGAAUUAUUGGGCGUAAAGCGCGCGCAGGCGGUCCUUUAAGUCUGAUGUGAAAGCCCACGGCUCAACCGUGGAGGGCCAUUGGAAACUGGGGGACUUGAGUGCAGGAGAGAAGAGUGGAAUUCCACGUGUAGCGGUGAAAUGCGUAGAUAUCGGGAGGAACACCAGUGGCGAAGGCGACUUCCUGGCCUGUUCUUGACGCUGAGGCGCGAAAGCUAGGGUAGCAAACGGG